rnacentral:rRNA from 1 species
AUGAUGUGUAGCCGGGCUGAGAGGUUGAACGGCCACAUUGGGACUGAGACACGGCCCAAACUCCUACGGGAGGCAGCAGUAGGGAAUUUUCGGCAAUGGAGGAAACUCUGACCGAGCAACGCCGCGUGAACGAUGAAGUAUUUCGGUACGUAAAGUUCUUUUAUAGGGAAGAAUAAAUGAUGGAAAAAUCAUUCUGACGGUACCUAAUGAAUAAGCCCCGGCUAACUAUGUGCCAGCAGCCGCGGUAAUACAUAGGGGGCAAGCGUUAUCCGGAAUUAUUGGGCGUAAAGGGUGCGUAGGCGGUUAAAUAAGUUUAUGGUCUAAGUGCAAUGCUCAACAUUGUGAUGCUAUAAAAACUGUUUAGCUAGAGUAAGAUAGAGGCAAGUGGAAUUCCAUGUGUAGUGGUAAAAUGCGUAAAUAUAUGGAGGAACACCAGUAGCGAAGGCGGCUUGCUGGGUCUUUACUGACGCUGAGGCACGAAAGCGUGGGGAGCAAACAGGAUUAGAUACCCUGGUAGUCCACGCCGUAAACGAUGAGUACUAAACGUUGGGUAAAACCAGUGUUGAAGUUAACACAUUAAGUACUCCGCCUGAGUAGUACGUACGCAAGUAUGAAACUUAAAGGAAUUGACGGGACUCCGCACAAGCGGUGGAUCAUGUUGUUUAAUUCGAAGGUACCCGAAAAACCUCACCAGGUCUUGACAUGCUUCUGCAAAGCUGUAGAAACACAGUGGAGGUUAUCAGUUGCACAGGUGGUGCAUGGUGUCGUCAGCUCGUGUCGUGAGAUGUUGGGUUAAGUCCCGCAACGAGCGCAACCCUUAUUGUUAGUUACCAGCACGUAAUGGUGGGGACUUUAGCAAGACUGCCAGUGAUAAAUUGGAGGAAGGUGGGGACGACGUCAAAUCAUCAUGCCCCUUAUGACU